rnacentral:rRNA from 1 species
UACGUAGGCAGCGAGCGUUGUUCGGAGUUACUGGGCGUAAAGGGUGUGUAGGCGGUUCUCUAAGUUUGGUGUGAAAUCUCCCGGCUUAACCGGGAGGGUGCGCCGAAAACUGGGGGGCUAGAGUGCGGGAAGGGAGAGUGGAAUUCCUGGUGUAGCGGUGAAAUGCGUAGAUAUCAGGAGGAACACCGGUGGUGUAGACGGCUCUCUGGACCGUAACUGACGCUGAGACACGAAAGCGUGGGUAGCAAACAGG